UCAAUUAUCUACAGACGUGUAAGAGCUUUUGCGUAAACCGUAACAUUAGUGAACAAAAUAGUGAAGCGCUAGUAAGAGCAGCCCAAUGACGUACACGGUGUUUGAUUCCUGCAAUGAUUAUUGGAAAUUCUGAGAAAUGCACUCCACUAUCCCGUGUAAUUUAGGUUCAAAUGUUUCUAAUUGCGUGAAGACGACGGCGGGUAGCAAGGUACAUACGUGUUCUAUUCAGAGUGUAUGAAUAAGAUUUAGCUAAAAACCGUUAUAUAUCUAAUUUAGAAUCCUACAUUUGUUAUGUACUGGGCUAACCUUUUCGAACCGCCGUAUAGUAUGUUGGAUGUGGUGUGUUCUUUGGGACACGUUUACCACAAUACUGUGGUCAUUUGUGUGUGAAAAUUUUUCACAUGGUAACAUUUCUACGGACACCCUCCUGGUGACGUCCAUUUGUUGUGCUCUGUUUUGCGGGCCAUGCCAUCAAAUGCGUCCCCGUCUCGGGAAUGCGCGCGCCUAUAUCGCUACAUCAGCAGACUGGCAAUCGUGAAUUUGAAACAGAUUUAAAAAAGGAAAUCGGGUUUUUAACUAUCGUGUGUUCUAGCUAUCAUGUUGUAAGCAAUUUUGGUUCGUAAUUAUUGAACAUAAUAUUGUACAUAAAUCGUCUCAUUUGAGCAGGUCAUUGGGCAGCACUCCUGUUUGUUCCUGUCAAGCCCACUUGAAUGUGUUUAAAUGAAACGCUCUUACGUUUGGAGCUUCAGUUUCAUUGCACUGUCACCUAAAGGUGAUUGAUCACACCAUUUUUUAAUUUUAUUAUUUUGCUUUAUUGGAGUGCCAGCAUUAUAGAAGCAAAGUUUGUAUACAUUACUUGCUACAUAUAAGAUGACUGAAUAAGCCUACAUGUUAACAUUGCAGUGAAAGAGAUGAGAACGAAACAGAGAAAUUACUGUAUAGGAGUGUAAUGGCCAAAAGUCUGAGACCACUAGAGAAAAUGCUUCAGCUUGGCAUUCUUUUUCAAUUUAAUGCAAAGAUUUUCAUUACAAAUGAUCUCAGCAAUAACUUGAGUGAAAAAUAAAAUUGUAGAAAUAUGUACUUAUUUUACUUAAUAUAUUUACUUAGAAAUAUUUAAUUUCAGAAUUUCUUGGUAUUUGGUAUAUCCCAUUUUUGCUCCCAUGACAAUGUACACUUGAGCUGACACAGACUCCACAAGUUCGUUUAAAACCUGAUGAUCCAUGUUGAAUCAAAAGCCACAUGCUUCAAUGGAAAGGAUAAGACUCAUGGAAAAUCUGAUCUUUUGUACAAAGGAGUUAACAUGUGAGCGGUGGCAAGGAUAAAGAGGACAGAAAAGAGCGCCUUGAGAAAGAGAGAGCAGUGCUGCUCCGCUCCAUCUCAGGACAUAGGGUGGCGGAUGCACUCUUCCACAUUAUCUCCUGGGUCAGGAUCCCGAAAGAGAUCCUGACCGAUCAGGACACUACAUUUAUGUCACGAACACUAUGCGAACCGUACGAAUUGCGGGGCAUUAAAUCAAUUUGAACCAGUGUCUAAUCGCAGGCUUAAAAACAUGAUUUGAAAGUUCAUUCACAAUGAUGCACGGAAUUGGGAUAAAUGGAUAGAGCCCCUGUUAUUUGCAGUCUGAGAGGGUUUUCCCCUGUUGAAUUAUUAUACGGGCGGAAGCCUCCUGGUGUCUUAAACAUCAUUAAGGAGCACUGGAAGGAGGGACCUUUUAAUAGUAAAAGUGAAAUCCAAUACGUUCAUGACCUGAGAGCAAAACUCCACACCUUAAGUCACAUAACAUAGACGAAUUUUAAGUGAAGUGACUUGUGGCCAAGUAUGGUGACCCAUACUUGGAAUUUGUGCUCUGCAUUUAACCCAUCCAAGUGCACACACAGUAGUGAACGCACACACACACACACACACACACACAACGUGAACACACACACAACGUGAACACACACCCGGGGCAGUGGACAUCCUUUUUUGCUGCAGCACCAGGGGAGCACUUUGGGGGUUCGGUGCCUUGCUCAAGGGUCUCACCUCAGUCGUGGUAUUGAGGGUGGGAGAGAGAGCGCUGGUCAUUCACUCCCCCCACCUACAAUCCCUGCCGGACCUAGGACUCGAACCCACAACCUUCAGGUUCACCUUCGGGUUGCAAGUCCUACUCUCUAUCCAUCAGGCCAUGACUGCCCCUGAAUUUGCGUCAAGAACGGCAAGUCCGGCUGUAUAACGGGUACUCGUCUAAGGGAAUUCACACCGGGAGAUUACUUGCUCAUUUUACUGCCCACAUUGAGCUCUGAAUUACUUGCCAAGUGGAAAGGGCUCUUUGAGAUCACACGGCGAGUCGGGGAUGUUGACUAUGAGGUCAGGUGAAUGGAUAGAGGCGGGGCACGACGGAUUUACCACCUUAACCUCCUCAAACCGUGGAGAAAGGGGGUUCAUAUGGAAUUGCCAACAAUCGUUCCAGAGAAGGAGGGGCUAGGGCCGGAGGUUAAUCCCAAAACAACGGCUCAGUCAGUCCCUUGUGGAGACCACCUCUUGCAAUCCCAACUCGCAGACAUUGCCAAGUGGCAAGCGGAGUUUGCCAAUGUGCUCUUGCCUCUCCCUGGUCGCACUAACCUCAGAGCAUCACACUGAAACACCCCCAGGGGUGAUAGUACUUAGCCACCCCUAUUGUCUGCCAAAACACAAAAAGCAAAUAGUUUGGGAGGAGCUCAAGGCCACGCUAAAUUUGAUGCAUACCCAAUGCCUUGCAUUGACAAACUGCUCAAUUGGUUAGGUGCAGCUUAUUUUUAUUUGACACUGGAUUUGACAAAGGGAUAUUGGCAGAUUCCCUUGACUCCAUUAUCCCAUGAAAAACGACCUUUCCCACUCUGUUCGGUUUACACCAGUUCAUCACACUUCCGUUUGGACUGUUUGGGAACGUUGUCCCGCAACGUUCCAACGACUCAUGGACAGAGUCCUCUGCCUGCACAAUGCAUAUGCCGCCACAUACCUCGAGGACAUUAUCAUUUAUAGUAAUGAUUGGCAGCAGCAUUUAAAACAUCUAAGGGCUGUCCUGAGUUAAUUGAGAUGGUCAGGACUCACAGCAAAUCCAAAAAAGUGUGCAAUUGGGUGGGUGGAAGUACGGUAUCUGGUAGGCCGGACAGCUUCCCAGCCUGAGUCAGGCAAUGGGGGUAUGGGUAAAUGGGGGAGUGCUCAAGCGCCGGUUUCAGAAUGGGGGGUGGAAUCAGAGAAGGUGAGUGUUAAGGAAUGCACACCUGCGAAGAAUUCCAUUUCUGAAUGCAAUGGAAUGCAGUGAGCGGUGGCAAGGAUAAAGAGGAGAGAACUCUGGGGGUGUGUGUGUGUGUUCAUCUUUGGGAGAUUAAAACUGCACCGCUGAAAAGCGAGUCAGAAAAAAGGGAAAAUAAAAGGAAAAGCUGUUUAGUGGGCUCAAACCCAGCCUGCCUCCCAUCUCCACGUUCCCCCACAUAAGGGAUCCUUUACAACCUCAUACCAACUGUUAAGCAUGGUGGUGAAGGCGUGAUGAUUUGGGCCUGUUUUGCAGUCACAGGACCUGGGAAACUUACAUUGAGACAAUGUAGAACUCCACUUUAUAUCAGAAUAUUCUUGAGACAAAUGCGAGACCAACUGUCUAGCAGCUUAAGAAGUCAAAAUUGGGUCAUACAUCAGGACAAUGAUCCCAAGCACACCAGCAAAUUGACAUCUGAAUGGCUAAAGAAGAAAAAAAUCAAGGUGAUGGAAUGGCUAAGUCAAAGUCCAGACCUCAACCCCAUUGAGAUGCUGUGGCGGGAUCUUAAGAGCUGUGCAUAAACAAAUGCCCUCAAACAUCAAUGAACUGACACAAUGUUGUAAAGAAGAGUGGGCCAGAAUUUCUCCAGAACGAUGUGAGAGACUAAUGAAUUCCUACACAAAAUGUUUACUUCAUGUUAUUGUUGCUAAAGGUGGUUCUACAUAUAGGAUGUACUUAUUUUUCCCCCACCUGGUUUCUGAAUGUUGGUUUCCUUUUUGAAAAAAUGGCUACAUAUUGAAAUAUAUUGUGUUAUUUUGUUGUCACCUGAGGUUAUUUAUUUGUUUAUAGAAGUUGAUGAGGACAACACAAUUGUCAUUUAGGUUUGUCAUUGAUAAAUAAAAACAUAGACUUAUAGGAGGGUGUGCUUUCUUUUUCCAAAGACUAUACACUUAGUUAGGUAUUUGGUGGCAUUGUCUUUUAAUUACUUUUAAUUCCUCAUGAUUCCAUCUAUUUUUUGAAGAUCACCAGUUCCUUUUCCAGCAAAACACUCCCAUACUAUGAUUCAGUCACCCCCAUGUUUCACAGCUGGGAUGAUGCAGGACUCUUAAUGGUGGAUAUACAUUUUUGGUACUUGAUGCUUCCAAUUGCUUCACCAGUUCCAGUUGUUGUCUUGGGGUUCAGUUGAGCCUUUCAGACCACUGGGAGUGAAUUUGUACCACUGGGAGUUCAUUUGUGCCUCCUUCCUGAAUGAUGCAGUGUAUCUGUGGUCCCAAGAUUUGUAGUCCAAGUCAACUUGGUGUAUGUAAAAUGUGACACACUGGAAUUCUGAUAUAGUGAAUUAAGCUGAAAUAAACCUGACUCUAAUCUAUUGUUUUAAAAAUUACUUCUGAAGUGAACCGAGUAGAUGCCUCAAUUGACUUGCCAAUUAAAUUUGUUAUUAAUUAAAUUUGGUUGGUUGGUUGGUUGGUUGAUUGAGUAACUAAGGGGACAAUUACUUUUACACACAGUGACAGUUGGUGUUGGAUAACAGUAAAUGAAUUCCUUCAAUAAAUGAAAUGAUCAUUUAAAAAAUGUAUUUUGAGUUUACUCAGGUAGUCUUUAUGCAGAAGUCUCUAGAGUUUACACAGAAAGGUAUGAAAGUCCCCAAAAAUCCAGUGAGUGGCAGUUCUGUGGUUGAAGAUGUGAAAAAUUUUGCUGUAACAAGUUUGCUUGGCCAGAACUCAAAUAACCCAGGUCAGUUUUGUCUUUUCUUGGCAGUUUUAUUCUCUUUCACUGCUUGCCACAAGUGGCUUAGCAGUGAACUUAAACUCAGUUCAGGGCUUUUUAGCCCAUUGAGGUGCUCAUACAUUCCUUACUGAAACACGCAAGAGGGAGAACACAUGGGAGGGAAAAUGAAAAUCCCAGAUCAGUGGUUUGGCAUUUGGCCACAGUAACCAUGCCAUGGUCAAAGUUACUGAGAUCACAUUUUUCUCCAUUUUGAUUUGAUGUGAAUAUUACCUGAAGCUUUUGACCAGGAUCUGCAUGAUUUUAUGCCUUUCAGUGCAUUGAUUGCAUGAAUGCAUUGCAUGAAUUGGUACAGGUGUUCCUACUGAAGUGGCUGUAUGGCCUCGUAUGUGCUUGUUGAAUAUCCAUUUUAAGCCCUUGGGUACUGAUGUGGAGUUUGUCCCUUUGCUGCUGUAACAGCCUUUACUCUUCUGGGAAGGCUUUCCCCUAGAUGGUGCGUGUGCGUGUGUGGUGGCUUGCGAAAACUGAUCUCUGUUCAUGAUAACAUUGGUGGAGAAAUAAUUGCUAAUUAGUUAAAUCAUUAAUAAGCACAAAAAUAGGAAAUUUCUAUUUUAAAUGUCUUUUUAGGUUAUUAGGUCAUAUCUUUGAAACUAUUUUUAAAAAAUAUUUUAAAACUUGUGUGUAAAUGCUCUUCUCUGCUUUGGUAAUGUGGUGGCCUAUGAUUAUCGGAGACAUUUUGACAGCUGCAAACUAAAUUGAAUAGGCUUAUAUCUAUUUCACUAUGGCAUAUAGUUAAUCAAAAACGUGGUCAAAUCAUGACAAUCACUGUGUGAGGAAAUCACCUUAGCUGAAAAGGUUUUGGAUAUCUUUAGGCAGAGUUACUUUUACCACUGUGUUUGUUAAACUGGCUCCUAACGGGAGGAGGGAAGAUGGCAUCAUAGAGGUCUGGCAAUAUCUGUUUUUUUUUUUUUAAAUUGUAUUAUUAUUUAUUUUUUUUAGAUGUUAAAUUGUGCAUUGGUUUAACAGUUGGGCUGAUAUUUGAACGAGAACAGUUUAUAUAUCAUGAUUAAAGGUACUCUUCAAGGGCAGGGAGUUCUAUAAUGAACAUUUACUGUCCUCCAGCUUAUCCAUUCUCACUAAAGUAUUUGUGGAGUUUUCGGGUCAGAUGUAACUCGAGCUCUGGCAAUAUCUGUUUUUUAAAAUUUUUUUAUUUAGUAUUUUUUUUAGAUGUUAAAUUGUGUGUUGGUUUAACAGUUGGGCUGAUAUUUGAACGAGAACAGUUUUAUUAUGAGUCUGGAAGAUUACUUUUCCAAAGCGUCCAGUAGUAAGCCCAGGAGAGCAAAAAAUUUGAUGAAAACACUGACACUGGCAAUUGUACAGGGUGUGCAAUCUGACAAGGAUACUUGGUCCAACGCUUUUGCCAAAUUGGAACUGAAUUUUAUACAAGCAGUGGAAAAGAUGACUGAAGAUAUCGUGAGCGUUAUAGACGCUAAAACUGGCAUAAUUCUGGAUCCAGUUCAAGUCCAAACAACACAGCUACAGGCAAUGGGCUGGCGCAUUAGUGAAGUGGAAGAGAGGAUUACCAUGGUAGAGAUGGCAUCUACAGAGAUGGGGCAGUGGUGGCUCAGUGGUUAAGGUGCUGGGUUCCUGAUUGGAAGGUCAGGGGUUCAAGCCCCAGCGCUGUCAAGCUGCUGCUGUUGGGCCCUUGAGCAAGGCCCUUAACCACAUCUGCUCCAGGGACGCCAUAUCAUAGCAAGCUGGGAUAUGCGAAAGACUGCA